UUAACUCAAUUUUGUAUAGAGUUGGAACGUUUGCCUACUUUUGCCGCUAGGGGCGCUGUUCCAACUGCAUACAAAUGUGAGUUA
rnacentral:pre_miRNA from 1 species